AGCAAUGGUGGGCGGAGCGUAACGGGAUCUCGCUGCUUAGUAACAACAGCGUACGCCACUACUCUCCCAACUACCGCCCGACACCCAACUGGUGCUCCUCAACCAAAAUGUCUGACGAACAACCCGCCGCAUCUGUCGAGACUGAGGUUGCGCCCGCGUGCCCAGAGACCAACAACGCCUUCACACUGUGCGUGACGGAGAAUGGAGAGACCAACUGUGCGGCACUGUUGGAGGCCCACCAGGAGUGUCUCAAGAAGCUAGGUCUUCAAGGUUAAGGUGGUGUAGGAGCAGCCCGGGGUGAUGGCUGGAGACCACUCCCGGUUUGGCCGUUGUUCCAGUCUUGCCUCGGAUGACACUCUUGAUCACCAGCAAUUUUAUAAAUAUAUUUGUUAGUUUAGAGAAAAUACUCUAACCCUUCCAUUUAUGACAAUAAAUAAAUACACGGUAGGAUCCUCCUCAAAGUCAUGUAUAUUAUGUUCCAUAUUAGUGAAAUACAAAAUAAACUUUCAUUUGUUGAAAGUUGAUGCACUAAACCAUGGUAGAGCUCACGUGUUCUCCGUCAGGUACUACUGUAGGGACAGGUCUCAGUCCACGGUUAUCCUACAUUGUGUGGGGUCUAUCCAUAGGCCACAUUCGUCCUGGGUUGUGAUAUGUCUUGUGUUGACACUUUAAUUGCUUAGAAAUAAAGAGGGAUUUUUU